ensembl:lncRNA
GGGAAAUAUAUAUGAAAUAUAUAUGAAAUAUAUAUGAAACGUACAGAAUUGGAAAUAUAUAAGAGAAUAACAAAUAUAUAAGAAAUAUAUAGAUUAAGAACUAAUAAAAUAAAUUAUAUACGAAAUCUCAUCAAACAUUGAUCAUUACCAGAAAAAUUAGAAGGAGAGGGGGAGAGAGAGAGUGAGGGAUGGAGAGAGUGUGAUGUAUUGGGAUAUGGAUGGAGAGAGUGAGGGAUGGAGAGAGUGAGGGAUGGAGAUAGUGACGUAUGAGGAGGAGUAUUGUGACAGCAGACGUCGCUCAGUGAGCCUUUAGGGGGAGGAGAAAUGAGUCAGGAAUCAAUCGUAUGCCGAUUAUGACAAAAUGUGGGGAUCCACAUGGAAAGGGAUUAAGAACACACGCACACAAACACACGCACACACACACACACACACACUCCAUUAUCAUGUUUGGCUAAAUCAAUCCUCAUGGAUAACAGAAAUAGGAGGAGUUAGAAAGAGGAAGAGGAGUACUGGUCAUAGAGGAAGAGGAGUACUGGUCAUAGAGGAAGAGGAGUGGUGAGAGAGGAAGAGGAGGAGAGGUGGGACGCUGAGACAGAAAGGAAGAGGAGGAGAGGUGGAGAGGUGGGACACUGAGACAGAGAGGAAGAGGAGGAGAGGAGGAGAGGUGGGACACUGAGACAGAGAGGAAGAGGAGGAGAGGUGGGACACUGAGACAGAGAGGAAGAGGAGGAGAGGUGAGACACUGAGACAGAGAGGAAGAGGAGGAGAGGUGGGACACUGAGACAGAGAGGAAGAGGAGGAGAGGUGGGACACUGAGACAGAGAGUGGUGGAGGGUGACACUGAGACAGAGAGUGGUGGAGGGUGAGAGGGAACGGUUACAAGAAAUUCGACAAAGGGCAAGAAAUUAACAGAAAAGAACGGAGAGUAGAAAAUAAAGCCAAAUGCCAACAUCAACAGUUAAUUUAAAGACAGGUUUGCUCCCGAGUGGCGCAACGGUCUAUGGCACGAGAUCUCAGUGCAAGUGGCGACACUACAGACCCUGGUUCGAUCCCGGGAGUCCCAUGGAGUGGCACACAACGUUGUCCGGUUUAGGGGAGGGUUUGGCAGGGGUAAGCC